CUUCACUAGUACUCAAAUUAAGUAACUAAUCCCGUAAAACCUUGCCGAUUAUCGAAAAUACCGGCCGGUAGCGAGAGUGACGGGCAGCUCAAGUAUAUAGACGAAAGGAAUCAACCAGCCAAUGUGCAACUAGACUAAAUAUGUAAGCGGAAAUGCCUGUGUAUAAGCCUGAUGAUGAGAUCAUCGACUUAAUUUUGGUUCUUUGCGAGGCGAGGGGAACACGGGAAUCGGUUGCGCGUUCUGGCACCGUUGCAUCAGUCUUCGCGGGCACCGUAUAACUGUAGCGUCAAGUUAUUUUGUAAAAGUUUAAUAAUAAAUUAUUGUCCUUUGUUUUUUAA